CCUCACCCCAACACCCAUUUGCUGUGCAGGUGCCAAAGGGAAACCUCUGGCAAGGAGCAGUCAGUGCCUGGACAUGACGUUGGCCCCACUGCUGUUCUGGUCUGUCACCUUGAGGACAUCCACAUACCGCUGGACCCAGGCGUCCACUGCGGUUGCCCUUGGUACUGAACCAGCCUGCCAUGUGAUUUGUGCACUUUGAAGUUUGUCAAGGGAUGUCUUUUUCUCUGGCCAAUGAAGAUCUUUAUAUCCCAGAGGAUACAUCUUCCAGACUCCUUUCUUAGAUUUUAUGAAUAGAGUUAUGGGAAUCCCAUAGCUGAAAGAAUGUGCUAACUCUGUUCUCUAGCACAACUGACAGUAGAAACCCUGAGCACAGCAAAGCCCAACUAAUAAAAAGAACCCAUCGGUCAGCAUACUCUUUCUAGAAUCCUGCCUUUCUACUUCUAGACAACAUCUUGCAAUUUCCAGUUCUUUUUCCUUCCGAGUACUUGUGCUUCCACUGUCAUUGCAUAACAGCCCUGAUCUUUCUCUACACUCAUCUGAUAUCCCAUUCAUCCAGCCUGCAUCUAGCCCAUUAGCCCUGUCAUUCUGCUAAGUCUCCAGCCAUUUUCUGUUCCUUCCAGUCUACAGCUUUUCUCUCCUCCUCUGAAUAUCAGUCAUUCUUCCAGCCUGUAAACCAGCCUAUACUAUAUUGCCUUUCUUAUGAAGGCAGAGACAGUUUGCAUAUCACAAUUUUGAAUGUUCAUAUAUUGUAAAUACAUAUGACAGUUAUGGUAUUUAAACAUUACAUACAAUAAGUGAACUACAUGAAUUUUUCCAGAGACCUUAUUCCAGUAUUUAUAACUUACUUCAAACUAGGGAGUUUUUCUAACAAAGCUUUCUUUCUCUAACCUUUGUGGGUUUCUCAGCUGGCCCAGGUCAAAUGUAAAACAAAUUUUAAAAAGUAUUAAAAAUGUGACUUAUUUUGUCACUUUUUGUCUCUGUAGGUAAAUUUGCUAGAAUCAUAGAGUUGUCAGUGCUUGUUUUUUUUCCUUGUAAAUGUCCUAUCCUCUACUCCAUUUUCCUCAGAUUCCCCUUUUCAGGGUAUGAAUCAGCAUUUUCUUUGGGAGAAGAACUUUAUGAGCUUCAUAAUACUUCAUGAAACACAGACAAAGGUUGUUUAAUGAUGAGAGUGGUACUGAGCUGGGUUUUAUAUAGGUAGUGUGAUGGUAUUUUUGCAGCAGUUUUAAGGCACAUCUGACUCAUCUGCUUUUAUUCAUACAAUACCAACACUGGCUGCAAGCUUUCAUUUUAAUAAAAGUGAAGCUUGCUGGGAAGACAUACAAGGUAAAUAUCCCCUUGAGAUUGUCCAAAACUACUAAGUGCAUUUAGGUAUGCCAACUGUUAAAACAAUUAGAUAAUACCCCGUCCACAUUUUAAGGAUGCUAAAAAGGUAAACUUGAGAUUACCUCAAAGUAAGUGUCCAGUUUGUUCAAAUUCCUAAGACAAAAACUGGAAUAAAAAGGGAAUAGAGGUGAAUAUUUUUGUUAGAUGAAAUACUUCAACUUUCUGAAUGUUGUUGAAUAGAAACUAUUUUCAUUUACAGUGUACAGCACUUUCACACAGGCAAGAUUUGAAGGGCUGAGGAUGUAGAAGCACACAAAAUGAUAGUCAGGAUAACCUCACAGAUCCUGGAUUUUGGCACGUCACCUAGACCUUAUUGAUGCCUAUGAAGCAGAUUACUUUUGGACCUGAGAUAAAACUACUACUUUUUGAAUGAAAAUUGCAGAGCUUAAGGCUGGAAAGGGCCCUGAGAAGUCAUCUAGUACAUCUUCACUUUAAAAGCCUGUCAGCUGUAAACCAGGUACUCUUGAUAUUUACCUCAGCAAAAGAUAAGGCAUUCCAAAACAAUUCACAUGACCGCUCCUGGUGCCCCAUCCCCAUAUGAGCAUCCCUGAUCUCCUGUUGUGCCCCUGUGGCAGGGUGGCUGCCUGCUCCAGUCGCAGUAUCAUGUUCUUGGGUAGGUCCCUAACAAGCUAUUGGAAAUGUCUUGGCCAAAAGCCUAGGGCAUGUUUUUUUUAAAAGCUCUCAACCACAUAUAUUUCACAGCCUCCUCAGCAACUUAACAAUUUCUACACUUAGUGUCAGAAAGUGUAUCUUAAUACCAAAGCGCAUUGUUCCCUUCACCCUGAGAGCAGCCUGUGGUUCAGCAUUGAGCCCAGGCCACUGAGAGCUUUUUACCCUGAGAUCUUUUCUGAGCUUCAGCCCUGCUGCUCAUGAAACUUGGUGCUGAUCCUCUGCCUUUGCAGGGCCAAGAGAGAAUGAAGGGAGAUCUAUGGGAAAAUGAAGUUCUUUUAAAGGGUCUUUGCCGUUAGUUUGUGGUUUCUUACUUCCAGUCUUUUGUAGAAAUCUAAUUUAAGUGCAGCUCAAAGCACCCAGAUUUGAAAGCUUUAUCAUUAGUAGAAAGAGGUAGGAGCUUUCAAAGGCAGCUUUCAUGCCUAGUUAGGCGGGUUGUAUGUCAGCAGUUGUAGGUCAUGAAAAUUGCCUGUUAGCAUUUUCAGUUUCCUCUUCAUGGAUGAGUGCAGUUAUAGCUGAGCCCCUGUCUCAGUGCUCUGAGCUGUUCUGGAAGCAGCAUAACUGUGUUAGUCUUGCGGAAAAAAACAAGCUUUUGUGCAGGUCAAAUUAACUUGGGUACAGCGCUGACCCAAGGUAACCUUGGGCCCAGGGUAACCUCGAUGGUUUGUGGUUACAGCUUGCUUUAUGUGGCCUCCAUGGAGAAUGAACAACCUGGUUUGUUUGUACCUACUUUUGAAGAAAUGUCCUGAGAUUUUCAUCAUUUUGAGCUUAAACCCUCCUUUUUGAAGUGUUGUUGCUCCUUAGUUAUUUUCCUUUUUGUACGGGUACGGUUGACCCUUUCUUGUGUUUAAGUUCUUUACACAUUUUUACUGAAUUUCACCUCCCUGGUUCUCCAGUUUAUCAAGACUAUUUUGCAUUCCACUUAUGUGCUCCAAAGUACUGAUAACUGCUCCAUUGCUGUGGACAGAAAUUUAUUAGUAAGUCUUUUGUUUCUUUAGCGAGAGAGUUAAUUAAAAUAUUGAACUGGCCAGGACACAAAACAGAUGUCAUUUAUUUUCUAGGGCUUUUAGAAGGCUCACUGGAUAAACACUUUCAGAGGGAGCGAGGUGGGACAUACUUUCUGCCUGUAAAUAUGGUCCAAUACAUUAAGUUUUAUUAUGUUUAUUAUUUGAAAAGAAUAAUAAGUAUGUUAAAAUAAUAUUAAAAAUCUAAAUAUUGCUGUUUUGGAAAAUUCCGUGGGUUGAAACUUACUGGAGAGGAAAGCGAGUGGCAGUAUUGUUCAGAAAUGCUACCAUCUUGUGGUGCUUGAGAUGACCGAGUGUAUGGAUAGUACUGGUAAAGGCAACUCCUUACCCAAAUAGUAUAUAAUUAUACACAAUGUCUAUGUGCCUGCUAAGAGGAACUUUCAAAGUAGUUUUGUGAAUCCUUAAUACUGCUGUAGUAUUUCCAUUCAGUAGAUUAGAUGUUUGUUUUUGAAAAGAAAUUCCUUUUAAAUACUUUACAGCAAGUUCUUGUAAAUUAUUAGUAAGUAAUCUAUAAUUUACUGGCAUAUGAAAGAUUUAUUUAUGAAACCAAAUGCUAUUGUGAGGGGUCAUAUGCAAAGCAGAAGAAAAAGAUAGUCUUUGCUGUGGAGAGCUUACAAUUGAUGUCCUCCUUUUAACGUGAAUGUAUGAAUGUAAUGACUUGAUAACAACUUGCAUCUUUUGUAAUGCUUUGUAAAGACUUUAUUCCCAUUGAUUUUGUAGUUCCAAUAAAGCGCUUUGAUGUCACAUGA